rnacentral:rRNA from 1 species
GAUGAACGCUGGCGGCGUGCCUAAUACAUGCAAGUCGAGCGAACAGACGAGGAGCUUGCUCCUCUGACGUUAGCGGCGGACGGGUGAGUAACGCGUGGAUACCCUCCCUAUCAUACUGGGAUCACUUCGGGAAACCGGAGCUAAUACCGGAUAAUAUAUUGAACCGCAUGGUUCAAUGGUGAAAUACGGUGUUGCUGUCACGUAUAGAUGGAUCCCCGCCGCAUUAGGUAGUUGGUAAGGUAAAGGCGUACCAAGGCGACGUUGCGUAGCCGACCUGACAGGGUGAUCGGCCACACUGGAACUGAGACACGGUCCAGACUCCUACGGGAGGCAGCAGUAGGGAAUCUUCCGCAAGGGGCGAAAGCCUGACGGAGCAACGCCGCGGGAGUGAUGAAGGUCUUCGGAUCGUAAAACUCUGUUAUUAGGGAAGAACAAACGUGUAAGUAACUAUGCACGUCGUGACGGUACCUAAUCAGAAAGCCACGGCUAACUACGUG